rnacentral:tRNA from 1 species
AUUGUUAUAGUUUAAAUAAAACAUUUCAUUUUCAAUGAAAAAAUGGGAAUACCCUAAGAAUA